UACGGGGGGGAGCAAGCGUUGUUCGGAUUUACUGGGCGUAAAGGGCGCGUAGGCGGUCAGCACAAGUCAGUUGUGAAAUCUCCGGGCUUAACUCGGAACGGCCAAGUGAAACUGUCAAGCUAGAGUGCAGAAGGGGCAAUCGGAAUUCUUGGUGUAGCGGUGAAAUGCGUAGAUAUCAAGAGGAACACCUGAGGUGAAGACGGGUUGCUGGGCUGACACUGACGCUGAGGCGCGAAAGCCAGGGGAGCAAACGGGG
rnacentral:rRNA from 1 species